AACUGGAUGGCAGGAAUUGGGAGCCACUCUAGAGCACUCUACAGUUCUGUGGAUGAUUGAACUAGAUGGCAGGAAUCAGAAGGCACUCUAGAGCUCUGUGGAUGACUGAACCAGAUGGCAGGAACUGGGAGCCACUCUAGAUUUCUGUG